GAAAAAUUCAGUCAGCAGUUUCUUUCCAUGAAGGGCAGAGCCAACCACAAUUGCCCCAGAAGCAAAGCCGGAGUUGGCAGACGCCAGGGUGAAAGGACAAUCUUCCCGGGAAUCUAAGGAGAAGGUGUGCCUUCAAAAGAUGAGAAAACUGACAUUCAGAGAAGUCAAGUAACCUACGUAAAGAGCCACUCAGCUAGGGGAAAAAAAUGGUUUCUGAUCGCUUUUUAAAAGCUUCUCCACCCCCUCAUUCCUUAAAAAAGGGAUGUGGACAAAAAAAUGCUGCCUGCCAUUUCAGUAAACAAGGGAUGCAAUGGCCAUACAGCCACCAGCCCUUGUAGCCAAGCCUGACGGUGCACCCUGAGGGGAAUUCAGGAUGGAGAAAAACAGGAUAACGGCCCUCGAUAGUUAAGAUGCAUAUCAACAGAAUGAUUUCACAAAAACACCUAUAUAUCCUGGCUCCUCCCUUACCUCUUUGGAACAGACUGUCAGAGCUGAGAAGCUGAUUCUCCAGGCUACAGUCCUUGUAAGGUUCCCGAAUAAAACAUAAUUCUCA